GAUGAAGAACGUAGUGAAAUGCGAUAAGUAAUGUGAAUUGCAGAAUUCAGUGAAUCAUCGAAUCUUUGAACGCACAUUGCACUCAUUAGUAUUCUAGUGAGUAUGCCUGUUCGAGCGUCAUUUCAACCCUUAAGCCUAGCUUAGUGUUGGGACUCUACCCUAACCGGUAGUUCCCCAAAAUCAGUUGGCGGAGUUCAGUCGGCUCUGAGUGUAGUAAUUUUCUCUCGCUUUAGAAGUCUUCUGGAUUACGGCCAGAAAGAGACGAGUCUCGCAUCUCGGUGCGUUUCUCAACUUUUUUUUACAAUGGUUGACCUCGGAUCAGGUAGGAAUACCCGCUGAACUUAAGCAUAUCAAUAACGGAGGA
rnacentral:misc_RNA from 1 species